UCAUUUACGCUCAGCACUGUAUAUUUUUAAACUGGAAUGAUACAGAGAAAAUUAGCAUGGCCCCUGCACAAAGAUGACACGCAAAAUCAUGAAGUGUUACCACAUUUU